CGUGUAGGCGGUGCGGUAAGUUGGGCGUGAAAUCCCCGAGCUUAACUCGGGUGGGCCGUUCAAGACUGCCGUGCUAGGGUGCGGGAGAGGGAAGUGGAAUUUCCGGUGUAGCGGUGAAAUGCGUAGAUAUCGGGAGGAACACCUGCGGCGAAGGCGGCUUCCUGGACCGUAACCGACGCUGAGGCGCGAAAGCUAGGGGAGCAAACAGGAUUAGAUACCCUGGUAGUCCUAGCCCUAAACGAUGAGCACUGGGUGUGGCCCCUCACGAGGCCGUGCCGAAGCUAACGCAUUAAGUGCUCCGCCUGGGGAGUACGGUCGCAGGCUGAA
rnacentral:rRNA from 1 species